ACUGGGUGUCGUGGCACAUGCCUGUAGUCCCAGCUACUCAGGAGACUGAGAUAGGAGGAUCGCUUGAGCCCAGGAGUUCUGAGCUGUAAUGCACUAUGCCGAUCGGGUGUCCACACUAAGUUUGACAUCAAUAUGGUGACUUCCUGGGAUCAGGAACCACCAGAUUGCCUAAGGAGGGGUGAACCAGCCCAGGUCGGAAAUGGAGCAGGUCAAAACUCCUGUGCUGAUCAGUAGUGAGAUCACGCCUGUGAAUAGCCAAUGCACUCCAGCCUGAGCAGCCUAGCAAGACUCCAUCUCU
rnacentral:SRP_RNA from 1 species